rnacentral:rRNA from 1 species
GAUGAACGCUGGCGGCGUGCCUAAUACAUGCAAGUCGAGCGAACAGACGAGGAGCUUGCUCCUCUGACGUUAGCGGCGGACGGGUGAGUAACACGUGGAUAACCUACCUAUAAGACUGGGAUAACUUCGGGAAACCGGAGCUAAUACCGGAUAAUAUAUUGAACCGCAUGGUUCAAUAGUGAAAGACGGUUUUGCUGUCACUUAUAGAUGGAUCCGCGCCGCAUUAGCUAGUUGGUAAGGUAACGGCUUACCAAGGCAACGAUGCGUAGCCGACCUGAGAGGGUGAUCGGCCACACUGGAACUGAGACACGGUCUAGACUCCUACGGGAGGCAGCAGUAGGGAAUCUUCCGCAAUGGGCGAAAGCCUGACGGAGCAACGCCGCGUGAGUGAUGAAGGUCUUCGGAUCGUAAAACUCUGUUAUUAGGGAAGAACAAAUGUGUAAGUAACUAUGCACGUCUUGACGGUACCUAAUCAGAAAGCCACGGCUAACUACGUG